rnacentral:rRNA from 1 species
AAUUUAAUGGCCGCGGUAUUUUGACCGUGCAAAGGUAGCAUAAUCAUUAGCUCAUUAAUUGUGGGAUUGUAUGAAUGGUUGGACGAGAUAUUGACUGUUUCAUAUUUAUUAUUAGAAUUUAAUUUUUGAGUUAAAAAGCUUAAAUUUUUUUAAAGGACGAGAAGACCCUAUAGAUCUUUAUUUCCUUAUUUAUUUUGUUUUGUUAUUUAUAUAUUUAUUGGAUUUUUGGUUGGGGUGACUUUAAGAUAUAAUUAACUCUUAUUUUUUUUUUUUCAUUUAUUUAU